rnacentral:rRNA from 1 species
GGGUUGUGAGGUUAAGCGACUAAGCGUACACGGUGGAUGCCCUGGCAGUCAGAGGCGAUGAAGGACGUGCUAAUCUGCGAAAAGCGCCGGCGAGGUGAUAUGAACCUUUGACCCGGCGAUGUCCGAAUGGGGAAACCCAGUGUGAUUCGUCACACUAUCGUUAACUGAAUACAUAGGUUAACGAGGCGAACCGGGGGAACUGAAACAUCUAAGUACCCCGAGGAAAAGAAAUCAACCGAGAUUCCCCCAGUAGCGGCGAGCGAACGGGGAGCAGCCCAGAGUCUGAAUCAGCUUGUGUGUUAGUGGAAGCGUCUGGAAAGUCGCACGGUACAGGGUGACAGUCCCGUACACGAAAGCACACAGGCUGUGAACUCGAAGAGUAGGGCGGGACACGUGGUAUCCUGUCUGAAUAUGGGGGGACCAUCCUCCAAGGCUAAAUACUCCUGACUGACCGAUAGUGAACCAGUACCGUGAGGGAAAGGCGAAAAGAACCCCGGCGAGGGGAGUGAAAAAGAACCUGAAACCGUGUACGUACAAGCAGUGGGAGCCUCUUUUAUGGGGUGACUGCGUACCUUUUGUAUAAUGGGUCAGCGACUUAUAUUCUGUAGCAAGGUUAACCGUAUAGGGGAGCCGAAGGGAAACCGAGUCUUAACUGGGCGUUAAGUUGCAGGGUAUAGACCCGAAACCCGGUGAUCUAGCCAUGGGCAGGUUGAAGGUUGGGUAACACUAACUGGAGGACCGAACCGACUAAUGUUGAAAAAUUAGCGGAUGACUUGUGGCUGGGGGUGAAAGGCCAAUCAAACCGGGAGAUAGCUGGUUCUCCCCGAAAGCUAUUUAGGUAGCGCCUCGUGAACUCAUCUUCGGGGGUAGAGCACUGUUUCGGCUAGGGGGCCAUCCCGGCUUACCAACCCGAUGCAAACUACGAAUACCGAAGAAUGUUAUCACGGGAGACACACGGCGGGUGCUAACGUCCGUCGUGAAGAGGGAAACAACCCAGACCGCCAGCUAAGGUCCCAAAGUCAUGGUUAAGUGGGAAACGAUGUGGGAAGGCACAGACAGCCAGGAUGUUGGCUUAGAAGCAGCCAUCAUUUAAAGAAAGCGUAAUAGCUCACUGGUCGAGUCGGCCUGCGCGGAAGAUGUAACGGGGCUAAACCAUGCACCGAAGCUGCGGCAGCGACGCUUAUGCGUUGUUGGGUAGGGGAGCGUUCUGUAAGCCGUUGAAGGUGUCCUGUGAGGGGUGCUGGAGGUAUCAGAAGUGCGAAUGCUGACAUAAGUAACGAUAAAGCGGGUGAAAAGCCCGCUCGCCGGAAGACCAAGGGUUCCUGUCCAACGUUAAUCGGGGCAGGGUGAGUCGACCCCUAAGGCGAGGCCGAAAGGCGUAGUCGAUGGGAAACAGGUUAAUAUUCCUGUACUUGGUGUUACUGCGAAGGGGGGACGGAGAAGGCUAUGUUAGCCGGGCGACGGUUGUCCCGGUUUAAGCAUGUAGGCGGAGGUUCCAGGUAAAUCCGGUUCCUUGUUAACGCUGAGGUGUGAUGACGAGGCACUACGGUGCUGAAGUAACAAAUGCCCUGCUUCCAGGAAAAGCCUCUAAGCAUCAGGUAACAUCAAAUCGUACCCCAAACCGACACAGGUGGUCAGGUAGAGAAUACCAAGGCGCUUGAGAGAACUCGGGUGAAGGAACUAGGCAAAAUGGUGCCGUAACUUCGGGAGAAGGCACGCUGAUAUGUAGGUGAAGCCCCUGCGGGUGGAGCUGAAAUCAGUCGAAGAUACCAGCUGGCUGCAACUGUUUAUUAAAAACACAGCACUGUGCAAACACGAAAGUGGACGUAUACGGUGUGACGCCUGCCCGGUGCCGGAAGGUUAAUUGAUGGGGUUAGCGGUAACGCGAAGCUCUUGAUCGAAGCCCCGGUAAACGGCGGCCGUAACUAUAACGGUCCUAAGGUAGCGAAAUUCCUUGUCGGGUAAGUUCCGACCUGCACGAAUGGCGUAAUGAUGGCCAGGCUGUCUCCACCCGAGACUCAGUGAAAUUGAACUCGCUGUGAAGAUGCAGUGUACCCGCGGCAAGACGGAAAGACCCCGUGAACCUUUACUAUAGCUUGACACUGAACACUGGUCCUUGAUGUGUAGGAUAGGUGGGAGGCUUUGAAGCGUGGACGCCAGUCUGCGUGGAGCCAACCUUGAAAUACCACCCUUUAAUGGCUGGUGUUCUAACGUAGACCCGUAAUCCGGGUUGCGGACAGUGUCUGGUGGGUAGUUUGACUGGGGCGGUCUCCUCCCAAAGAGUAACGGAGGAGCACGAAGGUUAGCUAAUCCUGGUCGGACAUCAGGAGGUUAGUGCAAUGGCAUAAGCUAGCUUGACUGCGAGAGUGACGGCUCGAGCAGGUGCGAAAGCAGGUCAUAGUGAUCCGGUGGUUCUGAAUGGAAGGGCCAUCGCUCAACGGAUAAAAGGUACUCCGGGGAUAACAGGCUGAUACCGCCCAAGAGUUCAUAUCGACGGCGGUGUUUGGCACCUCGAUGUCGGCUCAUCACAUCCUGGGGCUGAAGUAGGUCCCAAGGGUAUGGCUGUUCGCCAUUUAAAGUGGUACGCGAGCUGGGUUUAGAACGUCGUGAGACAGUUCGGUCCCUAUCUGCCGUGGGCGCUGGAGAAUUGAGGGGGGCUGCUCCUAGUACGAGAGGACCGGAGUGGACGCAUCACUGGUGUUCGGGUUGUCAUGCCAAUGGCACUGCCCGGUAGCUAAAUGCGGAAGAGAUAAGUGCUGAAAGCAUCUAAGCACGAAACUUGCCCCGAGAUGAGUUCUCCCUGAGACUUUAAGUCUCCUGAAGGAACGUUGAAGACUACGACGUUGAUAGGUCGGGUGUGUAAGCGCAGCGAUGCGUUGAGCUAACCGAUACUAAUGAACCGUGAGGCUUAACCUUACAACGCCGAAG